AUAUCAAUAAGCGGAGGAAAAGAAACCAACAGGGAUUGCCCUAGUAACGGCGAGUGAAGCGGCAACAGCUCAAAUUUGAAAUCUGGCGCAAGCCCGAGUUGUAAUUUGUAGAGGAUGCUUCUAGGUAGCGACCGGUCUAAGUUCCUUGGAACAGGACGUCAUAGAGGGUGAGAAUCCCGUAUGUGACCGGCCCGCACCUUCUACGUAGCUCCUUCGACGAGUCGAGUUGUUUGGGAAUGCAGCUCUAAAUGGGAGGUAAAUUUCUUCUAAAGCUAAAUACCGGCCAGAGACCGAUAGCGCACAAGUAGAGUGAUCGAAAGAUGAAAAGCACUUUGGAAAGAGAGUUAAAAAGCACGUGAAAUUGUUGAAAGGGAAGCGCUCACAACCAGACUUCUGUUCAGUGUUCCUCCGGUCUUUUGACCGGUCUACUCACUGUUCCGAGGCCAACAUCAUCUGGGACCGCUGGAUAAGACCUUAGGAAUGUAGCUCCCCUCGGGGAGUGUUAUAGCCUGUGGUGAUGCAGCGAGUCUCGGGUGAGGUCCGCGCUUCGGCAAGGAUGUUGGCGUAAUGGUUGUCAGCGGCCCGUCUUGAAACACGGACCAAGGAGUCUAACAUCUAUGCGAGUGUUCGGGUGUCAAACCCCUACGCGUAAUGAAAGUGAACGGAGGUGGGAAGGGUAACCUGCACCAUCGACCGAUCCUGAUGUCCUCGGAUGGAUUUGAGUAAGAGCAUAGCUGUUGGGACCCGAAAGAUGGUGAACUAUGCCUGAAUAGGGUGAAGCCAGAGGAAACUCUGGUGGAGGCUCGCAGCGGUUCUGACGUGCAAAUCGAUCGUCAAAUUUGGGUAUAGGGGCGAAAG
rnacentral:rRNA from 1 species